rnacentral:rRNA from 1 species
UACAGAGGUCUCAAGCGUUGUUCGGAUUCAUUGGGCGUAAAGGGUGCGUAGGUGGCGCCGUAAGUCGGGUGUGAAAUUUCGGAGCUUAACUCCGAAACUGCAUUCGAUACUGCGGUGCUUGAGGACUGGAGAGGAGACUGGAAUUCAUGGUGUAGCAGUGAAAUGCGUAGAGAUCAUGAGGAAGACCAGUGGCGAAGGCGGGUCUCUGGACAGUUCCUGACACUGAGGCCCGAAGGCCAGGGGAGCAAACGGG